rnacentral:rRNA from 1 species
GAUGAACGCUGGCGGCGUGCCUAAUACAUGCAAGUCGAGCGAACGGACGAGAAGCUUGCUUUUCUGAUGUUAGCGGCGGACGGGUGAUUAACACGUGGAUAACCUACCUAUAAGACUGGGAUAACUUCGGGAAACCGGAGCUAAUACCGGAUAAUAUUUUGAACCGCAUGGUUCAAAAGUGAAAGACGGUCUUGCUGUCACUUAUAGAUGGAUCCGCGCUGCAUUAGCUAGUUGGUAAGGUAACGGCUUACCAAGGCAACGAUGCAUAGCCGACCUGAGAGGGUGAUCGGCCACACUGGAACUGAGACACGGUCCAGACUCCUACGGGAGGCAGCAGUAGGGAAUCUUCCGCAAUGGGCGAAAGCCUGACGGAGCAACGCCGCGUGAGUGAUGAAGGUCUUCGGAUCGUAAAACUCUGUUAUUAGGGAAGAACAUAUGUGUAAGUAACUGUGCACAUCUUGACGGUACCUAAUCAGAAAGCCACGGCUAACUACGUG